UGUGUCGAGGUUAAUGCUAUCGUUGAUGGGGUUCCGUGCAUUGCUCAGUGGCCCUGCCAAAAGUAGCAUUGUCCACGCCACA
rnacentral:pre_miRNA from 1 species